rnacentral:rRNA from 1 species
GAUGAACGCUGGCUACAGGCUUAACACAUGCAAGUCGAGGGGAAACGACGGGGAAGCUUGCUUCCCCGGGCGUCGACCGGCGCACGGGUGAGUAACGCGUAUCCAACCUGCCUCUGACUGAGGGAUAACCCGUCGAAAGUCGGCCUAAUACCUCAUGGCAUCGUCUGCGGGCAUCCAACGACGAUUAAAGAUUUCAUCGGUCAGGGGUGGGGAUGCGUCUGAUUAGCUAGUUGGCGGGGUAACGGCCCACCAAGGCGACGAUCAGUAGGGGUUCUGAGAGGAAGGUCCCCCACAUUGGAACUGAGAUACGGACCAAACUCGUACGGGAGGCAGCAGUGAGGAAUAUUGGUCAAUGGGCGAGAGCCUGACCCAGCCAAGUAGCGUGCAGGAUGACGGCCCUAUGGGUUGUAAACUGCUUUUAUGCGGGGAUAAAGUGAGGGACGUGUCCUUCAUUGCAGGUACCGAAUGAAUAAGGACCGGCUAAUUCCGUG